rnacentral:misc_RNA from 1 species
GGUAGAUGCUAAUGGAUCAGUGAAACUUGCAGAUUUUGGAUUGGCAAAAGUGACUGAGUUUAAUAAUCUCAUAAAAUCCUGCAAGGGAACGCCAUGUUGGAUGGCCCCGGAGGUUGUCAACCUGAAAAGAACAGGAGGGUAUGGGCUUCCAGCAGACAUAUGGAGUCUCGGAUGCACUGUGUUGGAAAUGUUAAUUCGGAAACCUCCAUACUCUCAUUUGGAACCUGCACAGGUUUUGUACAAGAUUGGAAGGGGUGAGCCACCUCCUGUUCCUGAUUUUCUGUCAGGAUUAUCACAGGAUUUUAUCCUGCAAUGCCUGCAAGUUAAUCCAGACGAUCGUCCCACUGCUGCUCAGCUCUUGGACCAUCCAUUUGUUAAGCGGUCAUCUCAUGCCUAAUUAGGCUUUGCAAAUAUCUCAGUAAUUGUGGUGGUUUUCUCCGAUUCAGCCACUUAUGCCAUUAUAAAAUGGAAAAAUUCUUGCCCAUCACCAAUACAUCACAGACAUAAUACAUAGACAUAUAGUCGUAUCAACAUGUAAAAUAGGUAGAUUUUACAUACUUGUGUCUUAAAUUCAUGAUAGACUAAUCAGAGAACAAAACAAUCCUUAAAAAUAUUACCAUUUUUUUUUCUUACAUUGGAUAUUCUUAGAAGGAAAAGACAAUGCUAGGAGCAUUUGUAACAUUUAUAAAUUUACUUCCAAC